rnacentral:rRNA from 1 species
CGGCCAGACAGGUCCGUCGGGAAAUCCACUCGCUUAACGAGUGGGCGUCCGGCGGAAACCAGCUGGCUUGGGGCCGGAAGAUCCGAGGGGUACGUCCGGGGUAGGAGUGAAAUCCCGUAAUCCUGGACGGACCGCCGGUGGCGAAAGCGCCUCGGAAAGACGGACCCGACGGUGAGGGACGAAAGCUAGGGUCACGAACCGGAUUAGAUACCCGGGUAGUCCUAGCUGUAGACGAUGCUCGCUAGGUGUGGCGCUGGCUACGAGCCAGCGCUGUGCCGUAGGGAAGCCGAGAAGCGAGCCGCCUGGGAAGUACGUCCGCAAGGAUGAAACUUAAAGAAAUUGGCGGGGGAGCACUACAACCGGAGGAGCCUGCGGUUUAAUUGGACUCAACGCCGGACAUCUCACCAGCUCCGACAGUAGCAGUGACGGUCAGUUUGAUGAGCUUACCUGAGCUACUGAGAGGAGGUGCAUGGCCGCCGUCAGCUCGUACCGUGAGGCGUCCUGUUAAGUCAGGCAACGAGCGAGACCCGCACUCCUAAUUGCCAGCAAUACCCUUGUGGUAGUUGGGUACAUUAGGAGGACUGCCGCUGCCAAAGCGGAGGAAGGAACGGGCAACGGUAGGUCAGUAUGCCCCGAAUGAGCUGGGCUACACGCGGGCUACAAUGGCCGGGACAGUGGGAUGCAACCCCGAGAGGGGUCGCUAAUCUCCUAAACCCGGUCGUAGUUCGGAUUGAGGGCUGAAAUUCGCCCUCAUGAAGCUGGAUUCGGU